rnacentral:rRNA from 1 species
UACGUAGGGGGCAAGCGUUGUCCGGAAUCAUUGGGCGUAAAGAGCGUGUAGGCGGCUUGUUAAGUCUUGCGUGAAAUCUCGGGGCUCAACCCCGAGCGGUCGUGAGAAACUGGCAGGCUAGAGUGCGGGAGAGGAGAGUGGAAUUCCUGGUGUAGCGGUGAAAUGCGCAGAUAUCAGGAAGAACACCCGUGGCGAAGGCGGCUCUCUGGAACGCAACUGACGCUGAGACACGAAAGCGUGGGGAGCGAACAGG